rnacentral:lncRNA from 1 species
CCCAUGUGGUUUCUCUGUAUAUGUGGUUAUACCAUAGGACCUUAACGAAGGAAAUUUUUUAGUUACUGAGUACUAUGCUCUUUUGGUUCACAAUACCCACCGGUACCUCCUCGUAGGACAUCCUCACAAAGUGAAAGGAGCUCGUGGACCGAGACGUGAGAAGGGUCCGAAUUGUACUUGCGUAGCAUGGACACAUGAAAUACGUUAUGAACCUCAGAUAGUUCUGGAGGUAGUGACAGUCUGUAGGCGGCGGUGCCAAUUCU